rnacentral:rRNA from 1 species
AUUGAACGCUGGCGGCAUGCUUUACACAUGCAAGUCGAACGGCAGCGGGGAGGAGCUUGCUUCUCUGCCGGCGAGUGGCGAACGGGUGAGUAAUACAUCGGAACGUGUCGAGAAGAGGGGGAUAACCACCCGAAAGGGUGGCUAAUACCGCAUAAAUUCUGAGGAAGAAAGCUGGGGACCUAGGAAUAGGCCUAGCGCUUUUUGAGCGGCCGAUGUCGGAUUAGCUAGUUGGUGAGGUAAAGGCUCACCAAGGCGAAGAUCUGUAGCGGGUCUGAGAGGAUGAUCCGCCACACUGGGACUGAGACACGGCCCAGACUCCUACGGGAGGCAGCAGUGGGAAUUUUGGACAAUGGGGGCAACCCUGAUCCAGCCAUGCCGCGUGUAUGAAGAAGGCCUUAGGGUUGUAAAGUACUUUUGUUAGGGAAGAAAAGUCAGCUGUGAAUAAUGGCUGAUACUGACGGUACCUAAAGAAUAAGCACCGGCUAACUACGUG